AAAAAAAACAUUUUUUAACCUAGGGUUGACUUUUGGUCAAAUAGUUGACCAAAGUCAAGCUGAUUCUAACCGUACUUUUUUCCUCAUCCUCAAGGUCUUUCAUUUUGUGCCUCCAAGUCUUCAAGGUUUCCAAAAACUCUUCAUGAUCCAUGAUUCCAUGCUAUGUUGAAAUGCCAUGUCAGUCUUGUUGAUGCCAUUCCAAACCAAG
rnacentral:lncRNA from 1 species